CCUACGGGGGGCAGCAGUAGGGAAUCUUUCACAAUGGGCGAAAGCCUGAUGGAGCAACGCCGCGUGCAGGAUGAAGGCCUUCGGGUUGUAAACUGCUUUUAUAAGCGAGAAAUAUGAUGGUAACUUAUGAAUAAGGAUCGGCUAACUACGUGCCAGCAGCCGCGGUCUUACGUAGGAUCCGAGCAUUAUCCGGAGUGACUGGGUGUAAAGAGUUGCGUAGGUGGCAUAAUAAGUAGCUAGUGAAAUCUGGUGGCUCAACAAUUCAGAAUAUUAGCUAAACUGUUAAGCUCGAGACCGUUAGAGGUAAGUGGAAUGUCUAGUGUAGGAGUGAAAUCCGUAGAUAUUAGAAGGAACACCAAUAGCGUAGGCAGGUUGCUGGGACGGUUCUGACACUAAGGCACGAAAGCGUAGGGAGCAAACGGGAUUAGAUACCCGAGUAGUC
rnacentral:rRNA from 1 species